AGGUGGAGUACAGGUCAACAUUAUGUGAUACUUCAGAAGUACUUUUUCCAUUGAGAUAUUUAGGUUCUAUUACAUGCUUGGCUAUAGAGGUUUGCAAAACUGGGCAUAGCAUGCCUUGCCAGCCACCAUUCUUGUCGUUACCCUGGUCAUCUACACCAGAACCAUGGGGAGUAAAGGGGUAAAAAAGAAGAACUGAAGAUGGAACGAAGAAGUUUCACAGGAAGAUGGCACAAAUACCCUGGCUCUUCCUUGA